rnacentral:tRNA from 1 species
GGGUCGUUAGCUCAGUUGGCAGAGCAGGAGACUUUUAAUCUCAAGGUCAAGGGUUCGACCCCCUUACGACCCACCA